CCUACGGGUGGCAGCAGUGAGGAAUAUUGGUCAAUGGACGAAAGUCUGAACCAGCCAAGUAGCGUGAAGGAUGACUGCCCUAUGUGUUGUAAACUUCUUUUAUAUGGGAAUAAAAUGUUCCACGUGUGUGAUUUUGUAUGUACCAUAUGAAUAAGGAUCGGCUAACUCCGUGCCAGCAGCCGCGGUAAUACGGAGGAUCCGAGCGUUAUCCGGAUUUAUUGGGUUUAACGGGAGCGUAGGUGGAUUGUUAAGUCAGUUGUGAAAGUUUGCGGCUCAACCGUAAAAUUGCAGUUGAAACUGGCAGUCUGGAGUACAGAAGAGGUGGGCGGAAUUCGUGGUGUAGCGGUGAAAUGCUUAGAUAUCACGAAGAACUCCGAUUGCGAAGGCAGCUCACUGGACUGCAACUGACACUGAGGCACGAAAGUGUGGGGAGCAAACAGGAUUAGAUACCCGGGUAGUC
rnacentral:rRNA from 1 species